AAAAUGUACCCCUCCGUCCUCGCUCGAUCUAUCGCUCCAUCCGCCUCCUUUCCGCUCGUCUUGGAGCCUGGUUUUUUUGUUCCCUUGUUUCUCCGUUCCAUUCGUUGUUCGUACCGAAAUCUUGUGGUUUUGAUCGAAUUGUCGCUCUUGAUGACGAGAAUAGAAGCAGACGGGCGGUCAUAACCUGAUGCCGUGUUGAAUGUCUGCGUCCUCGUAGGCUUUACCUUGAAAGCAUCUGAGAGGGACUUCAUCGCCCUUCUUGUCGAUCUCUACUGCGCCUUUUCUUCCACUCUUCUUUCCCGUGCUUUUUCUUCCUUUAGUUCCGAUAAAAAUUCGAUUUUUUUUUUUCUGUCGAGUUAUUGCUCUCGAUGACGAGAGAAGAAGCAGACGGGCGGUCAGAACCUGAUGCCGUGUUGAAUGUCUGCAUCCUUAUAUGCUUUCUCUUGAAGGCAUCUGAGAGAGAUUCCACAAUUACUGUAGUUUUACAUGUAUUAUUCGUUGGUACAGAUCUAACUUUUAUCUAAUAGUCGUGGUUGAUGCGCUAUGAUGAAGAAUUUUUUGUUUUAUGUCUGGACAUAUGAGAUCCACUUGGUGUGUAUGAUUUGUUGUGAUUCUUCUGAGCAAUAUCAACCCACAUUUUUGUUACAUUUGAAUUAGGUUUAGUUUUCCUUGAUUUGAUAUCCUUGAAAUUGCACCAGUUACCCUCCUCUCUGGUGUUCUUUGAAUCUGAGGGGAUAUAACGGGUGCAGAAACACAAAUGGUUGGCUUACCAGCCCAUUGCAUGCGUCUAGUUGUUGCUCUGGUGUCAAAUGGUCCGAUCGAAAUUCCUGUCAAGCAUCAAUAUGAUAUAAGGAUUUCACUAAUUUUCUCCUCCCAUGAGAGUGGCAAAUGAUGUGAAUUUAAAAUCUUAUCCUACACACUGAAUCAUGGUGUGGACCAUUAACUCCGCUUAUUAUCUGAUGCCCUCUCUUUCAAUCUUUUCUUAUGCUAACUUUACUGUUAAUUGCGUUUUUUAGGCAUUGCAAAGAUUGAUUUUAUGUAUGCUUUAGUAUAUGUACAAAUGUUUGUAAUGUGCUAAGCUGUCACCAUUAAAACGGAACUAUGUUUCUUUCAAUGUAAAAGGAAUUCUAUAUGAUGCUUUUUUCUUGUGUCAUGCAGAUUUAUUCAUUAGAGUAGUGCUUAUGCUUGCUUUGCACUAUUCCAGCUCAAGUAUGAUUUAGUUAUACAAACGUGUGUACUCUUGAUGAGUUUAUUAUGAUUUUUAAACCUUCAAAAUAUAGAUGCUUUCAAAUCUAACUUUCUCGUAUGUGGGUGGCAAGUGAUGUGAAUUUGAAAUCUUAUCCUACACACUGAACCAUGGUGUGGACUGAUAACUCCGCUUAUUAUCUGAUGCCACUUUUUUUUCCUUCCACUAUCUUUUUCAACCUUUGUUUGCUAGUUUCAGUUCAAGCUGUUCAUAUAUAUGAUUGUGGCAUAUGCUUUCACAUAUGUUCAACUGUUGACAGUAUUUGUAAUGUCAUUCUUUUAUUUCAAUUAAUUACAAAAUUGAUGUAUUCCAUAAUGUACUUGACUAUAAAUAUAUUUUUGUUAGGUAGAAUUUUCUUGCUUUUGCUUAUAUAAGGUUUCUUUUCUUUGACGUUCAGCUUCAAGACUAGCUAUGAUGAAGAUUUACUUAUAUGUCUCGACAGAUGAGGCAUUUCUAUGAUUGUAAUACUUCUUCUGAGCCUAUGUCAAGGAAUUUUGUUACAAUUGAGUUUGGCAACAUGGUCUGCUUGUUAAGGAUGGAUUCUCAUGCAGUUUCCUCAAGGCAUUUCAUCGGACAGAAUGUAUAGGUCAUUCAUGAGUGAUUAUGCGGAACAAGAACAGAAAGUGCCCUCAAAGAUCUGGAUUUGAUUUUAUCAGGGAAAUUUUGUUAGAUAUAUUUUGCGGAUGAUUUGCAUUGGAGUUGGAUUUCGACUCUGCAAUGUUUCAUUAUUUGAUGAGUAAUGAAUACUUAUUAAGUUUAUAAUAAGACAAUAUUGUAUGGAUUA